GUCUACGGCCAUACCACCCUGAGCGCGUCCGAUCUCAUCUGAUCUCAGAAGCUAAGCAGGGUCGGGCCUGGUUAGUACUUGGAUGGGUGACUCUGUUAUAGUCAGUGGAAAUAAAUG
ensembl:rRNA 5S_rRNA 5S ribosomal RNA